rnacentral:lncRNA from 1 species
CAGGUGUGUGCGAUCACAGAACAGGCCUGCAGAGCCAUCAGAGCUGUUCUAGAGCAGAGAGGGAACCGAGCUUCAGUCCUCCGCUUCUUCAUCGCAUCGCUGCAGACCAGGGCCGCUGUGUUUCGUCAGCAUUUGUUGAGUUCUGCCGAUCCGUCAGUGGAGAUGCUGAUCUCGGUGUCUGACACGCUCAGACACACUGCUGCUGAACUCCUGCAGCUGGGAUACAGGACACACUCCGCCGAAGCCAUGCUAGAACACGCAAACACGCUCAGAAUCCUGGCUGUACACUCAUCGAGUGCAGAAGAGAAACAGCGCCACCUUCUGGACGCGUUCAGCCUGAUGAAGAGCGCUGUCUCUCUUCAGGAGCAAGUUCUCACUGAUGUCCUCAAUGUUCUUCCACCUCAUGAGGUACGAGAUGUUUUUAAUGAUCACUUAAUGUAC